AACAGUAAGGCUUUGGAUUUAAGUGACAAUUGCUCCUGACCUUCUCAAAGAAUGAUUACCCACAAGCUCAGGCUACCCUGCUUAAAAUUCUGCAAGUCAAGCUGGUUUAUUCAGGAUACAGCAGGUAGGAUGUAUCUGAGGAAUCUCACUCUGAACUUAUUGUGGCUACUGGUUAGGAUAGGAAUAGGGUGAAAGAUGAGGCCUGGCUCAUUUGGAGUUAAUGGUGAAAUAUAAGAGGAAAGGGAUGGAGUUAAUGGUGAAAUAUAAGAGGAAAAGGAUGGAAAUAUAUUAAAAGCUGGUGAAAUAUAAGAGGAAAGGGAUGGAUAUUCAAGCAAAAGGUCAGCAACACUUUGGUCUUUGCAACCAAGCAAUUAUCUUUAUAUAGCACCCCCUUCUUGGGAAAAAGAAACUGUGUUCAAAAGAUCAAAAUUUUAAAUCAGAAGAAUUACAUGGUUAAGCAUGAAAUUAGUGUGAAGUCAAUGAUUAGAAAUUCUUCAAGUAUAUUUUUAUUUUACAGUAGCAUAUCUAUUUUAAAAGCUAUUUAAUUCAGAAAUGUUUAGAUAAGGGAUAUGUUGAUGGAAACUAAUCAAACUUUAAAAUUGCUGGUGCAAGCAGAUUUAUUUUCUUAAAUCUUGAAUGAUUUUGCUGUUAACAUGUUCUUUUCAGCAGUCCGGAACAAAAUAAGUAUAUAAAUUCUAACUUCAAAUAACAUAAUUAUUACUCUUUGAAAGCUAGAAAAACUGAAUCAAGAAAACUUUCAUGGCUUUUCCCUAGAGCCAGGAAAAGUGGAAGGUUCCCUAACUAUGAGAAAGGCCAGCCUGACCUUUUCUGUGAGAAAUAGAACCAUGCAGAUAGUAGUCAGAUGAGGCUUCAGCUUCCAAGAGCCCUACCCUGAGUGUCCUAUUUUAAAUUGAGAACACUCCACCCUGAAACUUCCCAUCCCAACCACUUUACUCUGUUUUUUUCCAUAGCACUUACUUCCUUCUAAUAUGCUAUUUACUUUUUAUUGUCUGUCUCGGUUCACCAGAAUGUAAGCUCUACAGAGGUUAAGGAUUUUUUUUGCCAGUUUUGUUCGCUGAUGUAUCUCACCUUCCUAGAACAAUGCCUGGUACAUAGUAGAUACUGAAUUUGUCCUUAUGUAAUCAAAACUGGGAGACAAUAGACUAAAGAAGGAAGUUCAGAGUAUUAAGGACAAGUGCUAGUGAUUCAAACUAAGUUAUGAACAAAUAGUGAAAUAUCUAACAGGGAGGGGCCAACAGUUAAAAUUCAGUGAGGACCAGGAUACCAAGCUGCUCAGAAGCUUUAAAGUCCAAAGUAAGUCAGCAAAGAUUGAAAGUCCAGAAGACAUUUAAUUCUUUGGCAGACACUUUAGCUACCUACUCACUCUCCACUUCCCACUUUUACUCACCAUCUGAAACCUUUAUUUUGGUUAUAAUAACAUUGUGCACCACUUCAGAUGGGGAUAAAUGGACUAAGCCAAUUAUGACCAUUCUUUUCCCCGUUUCUCAGCUGCUCAGUCCAGGCCAGUGAGAACUAAAUAGAAGUCAACUGGGCACAUUCUGGAAAAUAGAAAUUAGUUUUGCUGGUAAAUGGAGACAUAAAUGAUUGGCAUAGCCUUUCCCUCUUCUUCCUACCUUGCGCAUGGACAUUAGAGCUGGAGCUGUCCCAGCCACCUCAGGUGCUCAGGGAAAGACCAAGAGAAUUCUCUUUAUUUAAUUCACUGUACAGGUUAUUUACCUGCUUGUUCCAAAAUUUAUUUUGGACCCUUACCUAUAAAUAAAAUUUCCAAACUCCCUUGCCAACUGCCUCCAGCUAGAUAUGGUCAUUGGCAGCACUAGGAGGAAAUUGAGGAAUAAGAGGAAUGGAGAAGCCAGGGGAUUUAUCUUCCCUUCCUCUGCUUCCAGCAGUAUCUCCAGUGUUGACAUGGUCUUCUCCAUAAUCCCAGCCAAUGCCAAUGGGCCCUUUUCCAUGGUCCCAGCUCCCACCAAGCAGCCAUCUUACACAUGUUACACAUCCAGCUCCAGGUGACUCUGACUUCCAAGCUCUGGUACACACUAUCUCCUUUCUUUGUCCCUUCAGUCCUGUGGGUGGUAGUGGCUUCCUGCUGUUACUAAUCUUUAAGCUGCUAAUCUUUAAGAAGCCCUAUUUGGCUUCUCAGCUCUUCCAGUCUUUUUGUACCUCGUGCCCUGUAUUAAAUUAUUUCUAUUGGACACCUGGCACGAACUGAGCUUUCCUCUCUGGAUCCUGAUUUAUACUACAUCGUAUUUGGCUUUUUCAUUGCUUGACACAAACCACUCUUCAAAUGGACUCAAACCUUAAGAAAUAAUUACAAAUUCCUUAUCUUGUGGACUGGUAGAUUUUGUAAAGUCUAUCCCCCCCUCUAAAAGCCAUGGCUGCUCCCUGCCUGGGAGAUUCCAAAAUUUGACUCUUCCAUGUUAUACUUAGAACAUAUUUUCUUAUUUUAUCUCUGACUCGCUCCAUCCCAAUGGCUCUAUACCCUGACUCACCCUUUCUGCCAAGCUCCUUAAGAUAGAUAACAUAUUUAGAUAGCCUAUCAUCUCACCCCAAGAUUUCCCCUCCUCAACUUCUCCCUUGGAUAUACUCACCUUCAGCCAUAAAGCAAAUGAUGUACUAUUCUACAGUUCACCAGUAGUCUCUUGGAACCAAAAACAGCCUGGACCUAAAAGCAUCUGGCCUUCUACCCCUGCAAAGAAAGAUCCAAACAGUAUGUAUGUGUGUAUGUGUGUGCACAUGUAUUGCAGGAUGAAUUUAAAAUUUCCUUCUUCUCAUGGGUGCAGGACAGGAUAGACACUUUGGAGGAUAAACAAAUUUAUUAUUUCAACCAAUAUAUAUUUAGCUUUUGCUUUGUGCUUAUAUGCAAGGGAUACAGCAAUGAACAAAGCAGAUAAAUCUCUGCCCUCUGGCCUCCUAAAGCUGAUUCUGACUCUCCAGAAUGGCAAAGAGAGCCAUUUACUGCCAGUAGGUCCUGUUAUUAAGGUUAUUAAGGUCAUG
rnacentral:lncRNA from 1 species